rfam:Epulopiscium sp. AS2M-Bin002 AS2M_MBin02_102, whole genome shotgun sequence.
CGGGAUGUGGCUCAGUUUGGUUAGAGUGCUGGUCUGGGGGACCAGAGGUCGCAGGUUCAAAUCCUGUCAUUCCGA